rnacentral:sRNA from 1 species
GCCGGGCGUGGUGGCGCAUGCCUAUUAUCCCAGCAGCUCUAGAGGCUGAGGCAGGAGUAUCACAAGUUCAAAGCCAACCUCAGCAACAGCGAGGCACUAAGCAACACAGUGACAACCUGUCUCUA